rnacentral:piRNA from 1 species
UAGCCUCGUGGAGAAGCUUUGUGAAUGUUU